CGGGACGUCAGGUGGGUGUUGUCGACGACGACGUCGAAGCCGUCGUCGACGGCGGCGCGGACCGCCGCGUCCUGG
rnacentral:tRNA from 1 species